ACAACGAAGAGUUUGAUCCUGGCUCAGGAUUAACGCUAGCGGCAGGCCUAAUACAUGCAAGUCGAACGGGAUUCAAGGUAGCAAUAUUUUGAUGAGAGUGGCGCACGGGUGAGUAACACGUAUGCAAUUUGCCUUUAACUGGGGAAUAGCCCUCCGAAAGGAGGAUUAAUACCGCAUAACAUUUCAGAAUGGCAUCAUUUUGAAAUUAAACCUCCGGGGGUUAAAGAUAAGCAUGCAUCCGAUUAGGUAGUUGGUGUGGUAACGGCACACCAAGCCAACGAUCGGUAGGGGGUCUGAGAGGAUGAUCCCCCACACUGGUACUGAGACACGGACCAGACUCCUACGGGAGGCAGCAGUAAGGAAUAUUGGACAAUGGAGGCAACUCUGAUCCAGCCAUGCCGCGUGAAGGAAUAAGGCCCUAUGGGUUGUAAACUUCUUUUAGACGGGACAAAACCCCUUUACGUGUAAAGGGUUGAUGGUACUGUCAGAAUAAGCAUCGGCUAACUUCGUGCCAGCAGCCGCGGUAAUACGAAGGAUGCAAGCGUUAUCCGGAAUUAUUGGGUUUAAAGGGUGCGUAGGCGGACUGAUAAGUCAGUGGUGAAAGCCUGCAGCUUAACUGCAGAAUUGCCGUUGAUACUGUCAGUCUUGAGUACAGUUGAGGUAGGCGGAAUGUGUCAUGUAGCGGUGAAAUGCUUAGAUAUGACACAGAACACCGAUUGCGAAGGCAGCUUGCUAAGCUGUAACUGACGCUGAGGCACGAAAGCGUGGGGAUCAAACAGGAUUAGAUACCCUGGUAGUCCACGCCCUAAACGAUGAUAACUCGCUGUUGGCGAUACACAGCCAGCGGCCAAGCGAAAGCAUUAAGUUAUCCACCUGGGGAGUACGACCGCAAGGUUGAAACUCAAAGGAAUUGACGGGGGCCCGCACAAGCGGAGGAGCAUGUGGUUUAAUUCGAUGAUACGCGAGGAACCUUACCUGGGCUUGAAAGUUAGCGACCGACUCCGAAAAGAGUCUUUCAGAAAUGACGCGAAACUAGGUGCUGCAUGGCUGUCGUCAGCUCGUGCCGUGAGGUGUUGGGUUAAGUCCCGCAACGAGCGCAACCCCUAUUCUUAGUUGCCAUCAGGUUAUGCUGGGGACUCUAAGAAGACUGCCCGCGCAAGCGGUGAGGAAGGUGGGGAUGACGUCAAGUCAUCACGGCCCUUACGUCCAGGGCUACACACGUGCUACAAUGGCCGGUACAAUGGGCAGCCACAUGGCAACAUGGAGCUAAUCUUUAAAACCGGUCUCAGUUCGGAUUGAGGUCUGCAACUCGACCUCAUGAAGCUGGAUUCGCUAGUAAUCGCAAAUCAGCAAUGUUGCGGUGAAUACGUUCCCGGGCCUUGUACACACCGCCCGUCAAGCCAUGGAAGUCGGGAGUACCUAAAGUCCAUAACCGCAAGGAGUGGCCUAGGGUAAAACUGAUGACUGGGGCUAAGUCGUAACAAGGUAGCCGUACCGGAAGGUGCGGCUGGAAUACCUCCUUU
rfam:Bacteroidetes bacterium OLB10 TZ10_BCD003CONTIG000048, whole genome shotgun sequence.